CCUACGGGAGGCAGCAGUAGGGAAUCUUCCGCAAUGGACGAAAGUCUGACGGAGCAACGCCGCGUGAACGAUGAAGGCCUUCGGGUCGUAAAGUUCUGUUGUUAGGGAAGAACAAGUGCUAGUUAAAUAAGCUGGCACCUUGACGGUACCUAACCAGAAAGCCACGGCUAACUACGUGCCAGCAGCCGCGGUAAUACGUAGGUGGCAAGCGUUGUCCGGAAUUAUUGGGCGUAAAGCGCGCGCAGGCGGUUUCUUAAGUCUGAUGUGAAAGCCCCCGGCUCAACCGGGGAGGGUCAUUGGAAACUGGGAAACUUGAGUGCAGAAGAGGAAAGUGGAAUUCCAAGUGUAGCGGUGAAAUGCGUAGAGAUUUGGAGGAACACCAGUGGCGAAGGCGACUUUCUGGUCUGUAACUGACGCUGAGGCGCGAAAGCGUGGGGAGCAAACAGGAUUAGAUACCCUGGUAGUCCACGCUGUAAACGAUGAGUGCUAAGUGUUAGAGGGUUUCCGCCCUUUAGUGCUGAAGUUAACGCAUUAAGCACUCCGCCUGGGGGGUACGUCGCAAGACUGAAACUUAANGAAAUUGACGG
rnacentral:rRNA from 1 species